rnacentral:misc_RNA from 1 species
GAUGAAGAACGUAGUGAAAUGCGAUACGUAAUGUGAAUUGCAGAAUUCAGUGAAUCAUCGAGUCUUUGAACGCACAUUGCGCCCCCUGGUAUUCCGGGGGGCAUGCCUGUCCGAGCGUCAUUGCUGCCCUCAAGCACGGCUUGUGUGUUGGGCCUCCGUCCUCCUCCCGGGGGACGGGCCCGAAAGGCAGCGGCGGCACCGCGUCCGGUCCUCGAGCGUAUGGGGCUUCGUCACCCGCUCUUGUAGGCCCGGCCGGCGCUUGCCGACACAUCAAUCUUUUUUCCCGGUUGACCUCGGAUCAGGUAGGGAUACCCGCUGAACUUAAGCAUAUCAAUAAGCGGAGGA